rnacentral:rRNA from 1 species
GCGGACGGGUGAGUAACACGUGGAUAACCUACCUAUAAGACUGGGAUAACUUCGGGAAACCGGAGCUAAUACCGGAUAAUAUAUUGAACCGCAUGGUUCAAUAGUGAAAGACGGUUUUGCUGUCACUUAUAGAUGGAUCCGCGCCGCAUUAGCUAGUUGGUAAGGUAACGGCUUACCAAGGCAACAAUGCGUAGCCGACCUGAGAGGGUGAUCGGCCACACUGGAACUGAGACACGGUCCAG